GGGGAAGACAGCAACUCGAUAAUCUUGGUGGUUGGAGAACAGCCUUUGGUUUCAACAACGGUUCCUUCAACGACCAUGACAACUUCAACUGGUCCGACAACUACUGUGACUACUACGACGAUCGCGUCAACCUCGACCACAUCAUCCACAACAUUCACAACAUCGAUGACUACAAAACCAUCACCGACAACAAAGACAAACAUGGCUACAUCGACGACCAUGUAGUCAGAAUCGUCAGCGGAAAGUUCAACGUCAACGUCAACGUCAACUCAGUCAACAGUACAGACAGAGUUACCUCCCUCUGACAAUAAAACAAAGGCACCCAUGACGACCAUGCCAAUUAAAAGAGCCCUGAGUUCAACGUCACCCGUAGCUGAUAGAAGUCCAUCCUUUGACUUCGCCCUGAUAGCGGCAGGAGUGGUCGGCGUCAUCGUCCUUCUGGUAGUGGUAGUCUGCAUCGGCAAAGCCGCCAGAAGACGCUGGAGGGAUCCCUAUGUGUGAUGGACAGUGAAAAACUGAGACAUUUUGUGAAGCUCUGAUUAUAAUUAGGUUUUUGUUAUAAAUGCUCAGCGCUGUUGAAGAGGCGCGUAUAUUGUCUCAUUUCAUAUACGGGCGAAAUACCCACUGGGUUAUGAAAAUAACAAGCAAUUCGGUUAUUGUAUAAUGUGAAUGAAUAGAGAAAUAACAAUAAAAUUGAUUAUCAACCCACGUUUUGCAUUGUAGACACCAUGAAUAAUAUAGCGGUAGUACAAAUUGUCUUAUCCGAACCUU